GUGAAUGUAGCUCAGUUGGUAGAGCACCAGAUUGUGGCUCUGGUGGUCGUGGGUUCGAUUCCCACCAUUCACC
rnacentral:tRNA from 1 species